UAGUGCAGUAUAAAUAACAUUAGAUUUGGGACCAUAUGGACUAUGUCCUAUCCCACCCACCCAUGUUUUCACCUUGGGCAAAUCAACCUAGCUUCUCUAAGCCUCAGUCUUCCCAUCCCUAAAAUGGAGGAAAUAAUUAUCUCCAGAGUCUUAGUGAGAAAUGGAUGACGUAUAUACAGUGUCUACCAAUCUUGCCCAUUGUUGGUGCUCAGCAAAUGCCAGAAAAUGUUAAUACAGUAGCUACUCUUACCCACAGGGUAUACAUUUCAAGAACCCCAGGGGAUACGUUCCAAGAACCCCGGGGGAUGCCUGAAACCAUGAAUAGUAGUGAACCCUAUAUAUACCCUGUUUUUUUCCUAUACAGACAUACCUAUGAUAAAGUUUAAUUUAUUUUUUUAAAAAAGUUUAAUUUAUAAAUUAGACACAGUAAGAGAUUAACAACAAUAAAAUGGGACAAUUAUAACAAUAUACUAUAAUAAAAGUUAUGUGAAUGUGGUCUCUCUUUGUCAAAAUAUCUUAUUAUACUCACCCUUCCUCCUGUGAUAAUGUGAGAUGAUAAAAUGGCUGCGUGAUGAGAUGAGGUGAGGUGAAUGACGUAGGUGUUGUGACAUAGCGUUAGGCCACUACUGACUUCCUGGUGGCAUAUCAGAAGGAGCAUCUUCUGCCUCCAGACCAUGGCUGACUGGGUAACUAUAAAUAAAACCAUGGAUAAGGAGGACUACUGUAUAGAUUCUUAGUGAGUGUUUUGCUCUACUAAAAUUUCUUUACUCUUCCUGAUGAAAAGUCACUAUAUUUUGGGGUAUCUUAGACUCUUCAGGGAUAAAAAGAGGUUUGAUGUGAGUGUCUGUAAAUAUACUAGACAAUUAUACUCAUCUCCCCAUGCAAUGUGAUAGAUGGUGGCUCAUUAGCUAAGCUACUGGGCCUGGCAAAUCACAAGAUUCUAAAGAAAUAGUAGAUAGAAGAAGCACAAAUUAGGUAUCAGGGCUUGAUACCCAGGAAGAUUAGGGUAGGCCUCAUAUGGGCUGCAAGGGACCUUAGGGACCAUUUAACUCAGGCUCCUAAUAGCGGAUUACAAAAGACUGAAACCAAAGACAUUGAGUAACUGUUCUGAGACCCUUGACAGCAGAGCAUGGGUCCCAUUUUUCUUCCCUUUCCUUUUUCUUGUUUCCUAGAAGUUCUGAAGGCAGAUGGCAAUGAAUAUUUCAGAAACACUGAGCUUCGGAAGUCAGAAGACUUGAAUUUCUGAGCUCAACUCCUCUCCCUAACUGUAGGACAUGACUACUCAUGUUCCAACCCAGAAUGAUUCUGUAGCACUAAGACUCCAGUUCAGGAUCUGAGGUGGAAAGAAGGAAGGGUGGGCAAAAUCUUUGUGCAAGUUUGUGCAACAGAUUUUAAUUGGUUGUUUAGUGAUUGACUGAACUCUGUCACAAAGGUGGCCCAUACGAAAUGAGAUUCAGAAGCCAGAUGUCAAAAAAAAAAAAAAAAAAACAGAAGCCAGAUGUCUCCUGGUAUAAUUUAGAGAAAGAAAUUAGAGUCGUGGACAUAGAGAAAUGUUGGAGCACAAUUACUAUGUAGAGAACACCUAACCAUUCCCUAAACACAUCUGAGAGAACCAAAAAGAAACACCUCUCACCAAGCCUUGAGUAGUGAAGAAAGAAUCAGUAUCUUUGAAAAAUGCUCAAGUUUCAAUUUGUGAAGACCACAGAUAAUGACAGAAGGCCCUGUAGCUGAAUGGCCUUCUUGAGUUCAUGGAGAAUUUGGGGGGCAGUGGUCCCAUAGCUGCCCUUAGCCCUCCCCACAGGCAAUGAGUGUGCAUUCAGAAUAAGCAACCUUGUAGGGCGCUGCCCUAGGGGUCUGACCUUUGAUCCACAGGGUGUCUACCCUUCCUGUCCCUCAGUUUCUUCUUUCGUAAAAUAAAGCCACAUUUCUGGGGCACCUGGGUGGCUCAUCGGUUAUGCAUCUGACUUUUAAUUUUGGCUCAGGUCAUGAUCUCAGGAUUCGGGGAUUGAGCCCCAUGGCAGGCUCCACACUCAACACAGAGUCUGCUUGAGAUCCUCUCUCUCCCUCUGCCCCUCCCUCUGUGUGCACACAUAUUCUCUCUUUCAAAUCAAUCAAUCAAUCAAUCAAUCUUUAAAGUAAGCUGAUCUUACUUUAAUCGCGUCAAUAAUCUGAAUUCCCUUUGCCAUGGAACCUAACAUUAUCAUAGAUUCUGGGGUCCAGAGACAUGGAAGGGGGCAUUAUUUUGUUUAUCACAUCCAACAAUUAGGUGUACCACUUUAGGCAAUCACUUAACUAUAUUUCUCAGUUUCCUCAUGUGUGUGGCUGACGUGCUGCAAUAAUUAAAUGAGACAAAUGCACGUCAGGCCCUUAGCACAGUUGCUAGAGCACAAUAAGCACUCAGUCUGUAGUGUUCUCUUUCCUUCCUCAAAAAUAAACACAUAUACGAUGUAGAACUCCAAAGCAUGUAUCGUAUCCUGAACCACAGUGCCCUAAAAUGCUGCUUACGGCUACAUCUUGGCAUUCUUUUUUUAAAUUUAACUUUAUUUAUGUAUUUAUUUAUUUAAUUUAUUUUUUUUAGUGGGCUCUACCCCCAUCAUAAAGCUUGAACUCACAACGUCUAGAUCUAGCUCUAGAUCAAGGGCUGUAUGCUUUACCAACUGAGCCAGCCAGGCACCCCCAAUCCUGGCAUUCCUAAUGGAGGGGCAGCAAAGACUGAGAGCCUGCCUUGUGCCCAGGUCACAUGCUCCUUCCCCGCACUCCGGACAGCCCAUGCACACCACCCUCGAGGUUUUUGGCACUUGGCAGUGAUUGUCCUGGAAAGGAAGUACUCUCGUGGUAUCCUCGGGGGGACAAAUGAAUCACUGAGUGUGGGCCUGGCAAAUAGUUCAUCCUUCUAUGAAUGGUGACAGAUAUUCAAAGAGAAACAGUGCUCAGUGCCCAGUGACUUACCUCGGACACAAAGGAAAUACCAGUGAUACUUACUGUUCUGAGCACCCUCACAUUCCCAAUGUCCCUUGAGCCUCCAAUUCUGGGAAGUGGGCAGGGAGGCCACCAUCGGGGGUUGCUGGGGAAAUUGAGGAACAUAAGGUAGAGGACUUGACCACGGUGACACAGCCUACCAGGUCUGGCAUCCCGACCUCCACCCCUGGAGCUCUCCACCUCUGCUGGGCCUGCCCUAGCCUUCUCCCAGCCACUGAACAGCAAAGGGGGUGAGUUGGCCUCUCUUAGGUUACAUUUCCUUCUCCACUUGGCCUCCUCCUCUGCCCCAACCUCCAGCCAGGAGAGUUGCCACAGAGCCAUUUCUGACCACGUACCUGGGUAGCAUCUCUUCCUCCUUCACCAGGGUUCUUCUGCCUGUCGCCCCCCAGCACUCCACUGGGUACUUAGUUACACUCAGUCUCCUACAGGUGGCUGGUCCUGGUUUGAUUCUGCUCUGUCCUAAUUCCUUGGGUUGAACUAAAUUAGUGAAAAGAGGAGAGAGAAGUAGGUAAUCCUCCAUUUUAGGGGUUCUCACUUUGGGCGUAAUCCUCCCCAGCACCCAGAAAAUCUGUAAAAGUUGUGGGGGGUGCAUUUUGGGAUGUUACAAUGGGUUGAGGGAGUCCCUGCAUUCCACAGGUGGAGUGGGGUGCUGAUCAUCCUGCAAGAUGAGGGACAGCUCCCUCCCCACGUGACAGCAAAGAACUGUCCCAUACACAAUGCCAGGAGCGCCCCACUAAGAACCUGGGCUCUGAUCGGACAAUCAGCUCUCAUUUGGACUGUUAGAACCACCUCUAUUCGGUGAUGAUGAUUGUGACUUAUAACUCUUCCUCAGGCGACCAAAGCUGUUAAAGGUUAAGAAGAGCUUGUUGUUGUUGUUGUUGUUGUUGUUGUGUUGUUGUUGUUGUUGUUGUUUUUCAUGAAAUGGCUGAUUCGCAGCUCAUCACUAGGUAGCAUGGUGUAGCAGACAGAGAUCUUGGGUGAAAACAGCCACCAGGAGCACAGAUUCUGAAGCCACGCUGCCGGGGUGAUGUUGUGGCUUUGCCAUUUACAAGCUUUAGGGUCUUGGCAGGUUAGUCUUUCUGUGUCUCAGCUCUUACUACUUUUUAUAAAUUAGGUACAACUUAGCUACCCGGUUUUGUUAGGCUUGGCACAUAGUAAGAGUUACUGAAUGUUAGAUAUCAUUACUAAAAUCACUGCCAUCUAUGGGACCUGGGGCAAGAUAUUUCUCAGCUCUGUGUCUGUUUCUUCUCAUGAGAAUAGAGAUAAUAAUACCUACUUCAAAGUGUUUUUAUAGGAUCUAAUGAGAAAACAUGUGUAAAGGGCAAGUAUAGCACAGAUGAUGCUCGUCACAACUUCAUGAAGGUGUUACCCCCAUUUUACAGGUAAGGAAACUGAGGCUUACAGAGGUUAGGUAACUUGGCCACAGAUACAACACUAUCUGGGAUUUGAACCAAGGCUAUUUGGGUCUAGAUCUACUGUGUCCAACCACCAUACCCUAUAGCUGCUUUUCCCAAGGAAGCAGCUUAGAACAACACUUGGUAGCUUAUGAGUAUCCCUGGCUGGCAAAGAGACAGUUCUGACCCUUAGCUGGGCCCUCGGCCAGGUAGCCGGUGGCAGGAUGCCCAUCUCUCUUCCCCAAGUGACAGUGUUGUGUGAGGGAGUGGCUAGGAAUCCAGAAUCCAGAAACCUGGAAUCUGGUUCUUGCUCUCUUGUUUCCAUGGCAUCCAUGCGCAGGUCUGGCAACCAUGCAGGGCUUUGGUUUCCUUCAGGAGAAGGAGGUUAAGGGCCCAGAGAUGUUACAGUGAUGAGAGGCUGGAGAAAGGGCAUACCUUGGUGUCCCACUAUCUCUGUUAGCGGGAGCAUCUUCCUGGGAUGUGACUUUCAACAGAGCCAGUUUGAGGCAAAACCUCUGGUUUCUCCUUGGACUAUGCACAAAAGCGAGGGGGCUCCUGCAACAUCAAAGGGAAUCAAUCAACAAAGUGAUACAGGGGCAUCCUCUCGAGGACCAGGCAACAGAGGAUGAAUGUUCUAAAAGGCAAGGGGAGAGCACUCCCAUGGAUUAAGCACCUAGUGUGUACAAAGAAGCUCACACUCCUGGUCUUGCUCUGGCCCCACAUCAACCACAAUGAAGAGUGUUGGGGUUGGGGUGGAGGCAGUGAGGGACAGUGGUUAUCAGAUUAAGGCAAUAUGGCCAAGACUUAUUACAGUCAGACAGACAUGGGGCCAGGUCCCAACUUUGACACUUAGGAAGAGCUGAAUGCCCUCAACGAGAUGUCUAAUCUCACUGUGCCUCAGUUUCUUCUUUUGUAAAAUAAAGCCACAUCCCUAAAAAUUUACUGAAAGAUGAUACAUGUAGAGUGCUCACCACAGCACCUGGCUCAUGACCACAUCUAGAUAAAUGGUAGUUAUUAUUGGCUACAAUUAUGGGAUUGUAAUGGCUGAACACUAAGGAGAUGAAGGGGGGGGGGGCUUAUUUUUCCUUCCACUUCCGUCUCUCCCAAAUACUAAUUUUAUUUAUCAUUUUAAGCCCACAGUGCAUUUGUAACAAGUGCCAGGGCUUUUGGUCUUCUCACUAAGCUAUAUUGACUCUUGCAAGAAGGGAAGUAUAUUAAAUUAACAUUAUUGAUGUGUUGUGAUGGUAAAAAGAUAUUGAUGCUCCUGGCCAGAGGGCCACACUUGGAGAAGAGCUGAGCUAGACCAACAAGAGGACAGAUCUGGAUCCUUCCUGUGGAUUUCUUUUUCUUGGAGAAAGUGGUUUAUUUUUUUUCACUGAGUCACCUAAUGAGGCUGCAUGGGUUGUGCUACUAUCUCUGGUUGAGUAGCCUGAGAACAGGGUUAGAGACAGUACCUGAAAUAGAGCCCAGUCUGGGGUGCAGAGGGUAGGGGACCCAGGGCCCACUUAGGAAGUAGGUUCCUCGUCUACACGGUGUCAGGGCUGUCCCUGUCCACUUGCCUCACCCGUACAAUACUCUCCUCCCAGGGCCUGCAGGGCUUUCUUCAGAGUUGGGCUGACUCACCUCCCAGGGCAGAGCCGGGGCCAUGGGCACUCGCUGGCAACCUAGGGUAAUUUGACACUGUACUCAAAUAGACACUUGGAAGAAUAGACCCCUCUUUUUUUCAUGGUAGCUCUUGGCAGGUGGGGGUGACCUGCACGCUGCAGACACUGCUGAGGUCUGGACAGCCUGGUGAUUUGGCCAGGUACUCUGCUCUCUCGGGUCUGACACUGCCUGUUGCCUCUGCACAUGGCAUUUGAUGGCACUUGUUAACUUCGCAUCAGAUGUCAAUGUUGUUUUGAUGUUCCAUUCCUCUGUCACCUCCUGUCCCAGGCUCAAUCACCUGAAAUAGCUUGGCACUUCUGGAUAUCUUCCCUAGAGAUAACUCUGACUAACUGUCUCCCCAUAACCCCCCCACACCCUCACCCUAUCCCUCUGGCCAGUGUGUCAGUGAGCAUGUGAGAGGACUGAUGUUUUUCAUAUACUCCCUGGGGCCUUGGUGGUGGUGGUAAACCAUUUCAGCAAUAGAGAUUCGUUUUGCUGGAGAACGAUGUGACAUCCCAGUGAAUGCCAGUCACAAGGGAAGAUUCCCAUUGUGUGGGGCAGAGUUGUAACCCUUCACAUUUAUGGCAGGUCCUCCCCUCUGGAGUCCUGGGCACAGCUCUGCCAUCAGCCAGAACAGUAGGGCUCUGCAUCUGGCAGGAUUCUUUCUGCAGAAUCAUAGAUAAGCUGUUCCCUUUUUAUUUCCAGCACUGCAAAGAAAUGACAAAAUCCAGGGCCAGAGUUUGCACAGACUAAAUAGAGCUGGCAAAGAUCUGAGAGCUCAUAGAGCCAAAGGGUGGCAAAUAAGUUUUAUUCUGUACCAAUUGCUAAGGGUUGCAUGACGCUCUGCAUUAGAAGCCCAAUGUGAGCUCAGGGGGAAACAGUGUCCUGAUUUUAUUUUAUUUAUUUAUUUUUUUAGUGCCCUGAUUUUAUAAUCAUGUCUGUCUUGCGCAUAGGAUGGGAGGGUAGCCAUUCAUGCGUCAUACAGUGUAUUGCUAUCGCUAACCCCGCUCGAUUUAUGGAACAGGAAACUCAGUCCCAAAAGGAUGAAAAGAGCUUUCCCAGUUCACAUAACUUGUUAGUGGUAGAUUUAAGACAAGGACCCAGGUUUUAAACAGGAAUUCAGUACAUUUCCAUUCUCAUAGGAAUAGUGUCCAUGGACAUAAGUAAGCCUGAGUUCAAAUACCGAGUCAUCAUUUAUCAGCUUUGUGACCUUGGGCUAUCAUUUAACACCUCUGUGCUUCCGUUUCCUCCUUUGUAAAUGGAAUAAAAUCAUCCACCUCCUUAUUGGGAAAAUUUAGUGUGACAAUGGUAUGUGUAGCUCAAAGCCUUAUGCCUCAAUGUUUAAUUUCUUUAUUUUUUUUCCAACAGAAAAUGAUAUGCAUUAUUAAGAUGACAUCCUUAGGGGUAGUUUGCACACCAUGGCAGUGAUUUAAUUGUGUAAUUGUAGAUCUGGUGUGUUCCCUUGUGAAUUCAGGGUUUGGGAUUAGAUUAUCUUCAAGUUUCUUCCAGCUUAAGAAUUGCUAUGAUUGUAAAUAAAUAACUUUGAAGGGUUUUUCUUGAGUUAUUUCUGUAAGCAGGUAUUUGGUAAAUGAGCCCUAGAAGAUUUUCUGGAGUCAAACCAAGGUCUUUGCAGGUGCAGAAGCCAUUUGCAGCAUUCUAAUGUUUUCUGUGUUGUGCAGCUCAUGGCCUGAAACCUUGGUACAUCACACUCCGUUGUACUAAUGGCUUUCCUUCCCGGUUGCCUGCCGGGGAUGGGAGCCUUGCAAGGACAGGAACUGGUGUGCAUCAUUGUGGUGUCCCAGAACCCCACACAGGGCUUGGUUGCUCAGCCCAAGGUGGUUGGCUUCAUCUCUGGGGUUUGAGGAAGGGUGUUCAAGGCUUAGCCAUGGCUAGGGACUGGGAACUUGCAAAGUCCAGAACUGAAUGAACCUGGAACUCAAGGACUUUUGUCCCAUUACUUCCUUCACAGCCUCUUGACUUUUCCAUACAUGAAACAGGGAAGCUGCUGAGUGAUCGCUCUGCCCUUGAGGCAGGAGCUGAAGAGGCAAUUCAAAAAAUCUGCUGCUCCUGUGGCAGGGAACUUGUUGAAGCCACAAGACAUUGGUAUGAGCAGCUGUACCUCCUCUGAGAGCCAUUUUGGGUUAACCAAAGCAUUCUGCCCAUAGGAGGAAGGCAGGGAGUGAGGAGAGAAUCAGGGCCAGAGGGCCUGGCUCAAGUGAGAUUUAUAAAUAGGAACAUGGAAACUCACAGAAGAAGCCAAGCAAGGCAAAGGAGAAUGGGCAGGUCUCAGUGAGACCAUUCUAAGACGUAAAUAGCUAAUGAGCGAGAAGCCAAACUUCUUGGAGACUCUUUGGGGGCCAAUAUGUAACUGUUUCCCUAGACUGGGAUCACAGAAGCACCCAGAGGGACGAAAGAAAGUUUUGAUGCUUACACUGUUCAUUCAUUUAUUCAAGCAAUGUGUACUCCCGCCCCAUGUACACGUGCUAGAUACAGGGGGAAAGAAUCAUAAUUAAGGCAUUGUCUUAAUUAACCUGUUUCCAGGUUGCCAGAAAUUUAACCAGAGAGGAAGACUCAUAUAUAGCUUACUGAGGCAGUUGCAAUUACCACUACGCCCUGCACAUCUUGCUUUGUAUUAUAUUGUGUUUCUCAUGGUGGAGAAACCAUGGAGAGAUUUUUUCUGCCUGAACUCUUUGGCUCCUCCUUGGAAAUGCAUCCCCCUCUUUGUGGGGUAUUGUCCCCAGCCUAUCCUAACCU
rnacentral:lncRNA from 1 species